rnacentral:rRNA from 1 species
GACAGAGGGGGCAAGCGUUGCUCGGAAUCACUGGGCGUAAAGGGCGCGUAGGCGGGAUGGCAAGUCGGUCGUGAAAUCCUUCGCUCAACCGAAGAACGUCGGCCGAUACUGCCGUUCUUGAGGGAUGCAGAGGAGAUUGGAAUUCCCGGUGUAGCGGUGAAAUGUGUAGAGAUCGGAGGAACACCGGUGGCGAAGGCGGCUCUCUGGGACGGUACUGACGCUGAGACGCGAAAGCGUGGGGAGCGAACAGG